rnacentral:rRNA from 1 species
GACGAACGCUAGCGGCGCGCCUAACGCAUGCAAGUCGUACGGUCUUCGCCUUCGGGCGAAGGCAGUGGCAGACGGCUGAGUAACGCGUGGGUAACCUACCGAUAAGCGGGGAAUAACUCACCGAAAGGCGAGCUAAUACCGCAUGUGAUCUAUGGGGGCAGUUUCCAUAGCUUAAAGCCGUAAGGCGCUUAUCGAGGGGCCCGCGUCCUAUCAGGUAGUUGGUGGGGUAAAAGCUUACCAAGCCUAUGACGGGUAGCUGGUCUGAGAGGACGACCAGCCAGAGGGGGACUGAGACACGGCCCCCACUCCUACGGGAGGCAGCAGGGAGGAAUCUUGGGCAAUGGGCGAAAGCCUGACCCAGCGACGCCGCGUGGAGGAAGAAGGCCUUCGGGUUGUAAACUCCUUUUGUCGGGGAAGAAGAUCUGACGGUACCCGGCGAAUAAGCCACGGCUAACUACGUGCCAGCAGCCGCCGUAACAC